CACGUAGGGUGCGAGCGUUGUCCGGAAUUAUUGGGCGUAAAGAGCUCGUAGGCGGUGUGUCGCGUCGGCCGUGAAAACCUGCAGCUUAACUGUGGGCUUGCGGUCGAUACGGGCAUCACUGGAGUUCGGCAGGGGAGACUGGAAUUCCUGGUGUAGCGGUGAAAUGCGCAGAGAUCAGGAGGAACACCCGUAGCGAAGGCGGCACUCUGGGCCGAUACUGACGCUGAGGAGCGAAAGCGUGGGGAGCGAACAGG
rnacentral:rRNA from 1 species